GACGAACGCUAGCGGCGUGCUUAACACAUGCAAGUCGAACGGAGUGGCGAACGGGUGAGUAACACGUGGGUGAUCUGCCUUGCACUUCGGGAUAAGCUUGUGAAACUGGGUCUAAUACCGGAUAGUGCAAGAUGAGCUCGCGGCCUAUCAGCUUGUUGGUGGGGUAAUGGCCUACCAAGGCGUCGACGGGUAGCCGGCCUGAUAGGGGGUACGGCCACAUUGGGACUGAGAUACGGCGCAGAGGCGUAGGGGGGGCAGUAGUGGGGAAUAUUGCGCAAUGGGCGGAAGCGUGAGGCAGCGACGCAGGGGGGGGGAAGAAGGCCUUGGGGUUGGAAACGCCUUUCGACAGGGACGCGGUACCUGUAUAAGAAGCACCGGCUAACUACGUGCCAGCAGCCGCGGUAAUAC
rnacentral:rRNA from 1 species